AUUAAAAAAAAUAAAAACAUAAAUUUAAUAAAUUAUCUAUUCAUCACACUUUAUCUAUGGAAACCCUAAACCCAGUGUUCUCCGCCUCUUUGUUUCAAACUGGUGUCUCCGGUCUCUCCUCACUCUUCUUCUCUCGAUGAACACGAAACAGAGCAUUAUUUCUCCACUCUCGAUUGUUUUCCGCCAUGAAAGGAGCUCUUAGAACUCGGAGGAUCCCACACACCCACACGCAACACCAACAGUGAAAUCCUCUCAAUCUCUCUAGCGAAAUCAAACAAGACGCAAACAACAAUGAAAAACCCUAAAUCCCAAAUCAAAACCAACCCCAAUUCAAUAUUCAAUAGUGAUUACAUUUUACACGAUGGAAAUCGAAAAUUGCAAGAAGAAAUAGAAAAGCUACGAAUAACAGAAGAUCCUCAGUUUCAGUUUAGUGAAGUUGCAGUUCUUACAAAUGACUAUCAUUGAAGAGAAAGGCUUUGGAAAGAUUUCUUGUUCCAAACCCUAAAAUCACCACUCCCACUACCACAACAACAGAACUAUCUUCUUUGUCCAACGGUGUCCUCAAACGCCUCCACAACCGGCCACCACCACCACCUUAACAAACCACCAUCACAUCCACCACCACCGCAACAACAGCCUUGCAACAAUCACUUACAAAGAAUGUCUCAAGAACCACGCAGCAAACCUAGGUGGUCACGCCCUCGACGGCUCGGCGAAUUCAUGACAUCCCCCACCGCAACAUCCACCGACCCAACAUGUGUUGCUUCAAAUCCCUAACCGUCAAAGCAACCACCACCACCACGAAUCUGAACAGCAUCAUAUUGAAAUGCAGCCCGGUUUAUUAAUCAGGCCGAGGAAGUGAUUGAUGAAGUGUAUUGCCAAGUCUAGUUGGUUCCUGAAAAUCAGGAUCUUGUUGUUCUUUGGCUUAAUGGUGAACCUGGUGGCUUUAGCUUUGAUGGCUUUUUCUAUGAACAUGGUCCUUUCAAUUUUGAAGCAGUAAAGACUAAGGGAAAUUAUGCUUGAUGUACCUGAACAACCACU